rnacentral:rRNA from 1 species
UGGGGGAUAUUGCACAAUGGGCGAAAGCCUGAUGCAGCGACGCCGCGUGGGGGAUGAAGGCCUUCGGGUUGUAAACUUCUUUUGCUCUGAACAAGGCAUGCUAAUGGGUGUGUUGAGUGUAGGGGUUGAUUAGCGCCGGCUAACUACGGGCCAGCAGCCGCGGUAAUACGUAGGGCGCGAGCGUUGUCCGGAAUUAUUGGGCGUAAAGGGCUUGUAGGUGGCUGGUUGCGUCUGUCGUGAAAGCUCAUGGCUUAACUGUGGGUUUGCGGUGGGUACGGGCUGGCUUGAGUGCAGUAGGGGAGGCUGGAAUUCCUGGUGUAGCGGUGGAAUGCGCAGAUAUCAGGAGGAAUACCGGUGGCGAAGGCGGGUCUCUGGGCUGUUACUGACACUGAGGAGCGAAAGCAUGGGGAGCGAACAGG